AAGAAAGAAAGAAAGAAAGAAAGAAAGAAAGAAAGAAAGAAAGAAAGAAAGAAAGAAAGAAAGAAAGAAAGAAAGAAAGAAAGAAAGGAAGAAAGAAACUUGAGCCUUAAAAGUAAAUGAACAGUCCUGGGCAUGCAAGAUGGCUCAUGGAACAAAGCUGCUUGCUGCAAAGCCCAAGGGACCUGAGUUCAAUUCCUGGAACCCUUAUAGUGAAAGGGAAGAUCCAACUCUUGAAAGUUGUUGUCUAACCUCUGUCGGGGACCCUGAACAUACAAAUAAACAGAUAGAUGUAAAAGGAAGAAACGUAAAGGCUAACUAGAAAAUGAUGACAACAGAACCAAUUUGUCUUUUCUAACAGGGGAAAGGAGAUGAAUUGCCUCUUUUUUACAAAGGAGCUUCUCAGGAGAAGAACUGGGUCUUUCUUUGGUUUGAGUUGCAUUUGCCUAAUUAACUAAUCUAUUAAUGUCAAUAAUUAAUGUCAAAAUUAAUUAAUUUUACAUAAAAGGAGAGGUUAGAAAAAUUACUACUGAAAAACUACCUUCUCUGCCUUUUCCUUAGGAGCCCUUAAGUGUCCAACUAAUACAGCUUUCUUCAGCAUAGAGCUUGAAUCAGAGGCCAGGAGUGGCAGGCCGCUCUCUAUAAAAGAAAACAAGACUAAUGCCUUAUGUGACUACUGUAAAGAAAUCAUCAAAUGAGAAACAAAAUUAACUGUUUCAUACAUGUGAAGAAGAAACAUCCACAGACAUACUACAGACCAAAAUAUGAAAUGAAAAAUGUGAAGUAUUCAGACAUCAUCCAUCAAUGCAAUAUAUUUACGAUUCCAAUACUAAAAUUAUGGUCUUCAGUAACUAAACCACUAGCAAAGACAAAGAAUAUUAAUUGGCAAAUACCAUGGAAAUGACAAUCUUUGAUUUUAAAACAUUCAAGCCUGGGGAAGAAAGCUCCAAUCAAUUGUGUUGUCCUUUUGUAAGUGUUCAAUAAGCUCUUCUUUGCAUGUGCCCUGGGCACAGAAAAACUUCAGAGGAGGCUGUAAGCCAAUUCUAGAUGGUCUCGAUGUGUUUUCAUCAUCUCCACAUUAAUUCCUUCUUGUUUGGUAAUUCUGAUACACUUUUAUUGCCCUUCUUCCCCUGCUCUCCCCCCCAAGAACUGAGGUUUUUGCUUUGUUUUGUUUUUUCGAGUGAAUUAGACAUGUAGCUUCUAUUCCAAUUUUAUGAAAACAUCUCUCAUUUUCAGUUUCACUUUGUGUACAUGAAGAUCGCUGUGUGGAGUUACCUCUCUGACUUUUAAAACUGUCUUAGUCCCCAAAUUCCAGGCUGGGAUUAGUCCACCCUAUGUGUUUGUAGCACUACAGUAUGCUUGCUUAGCCUGCCAGUGACCUCGUUAAACUGGCAUGCUUUGUCAGCUUCUGGAAUAAUCAGAUCAUUGAUUUCAACCCUAUCUGUAAAGCAACUUCAUGUGGUUAGAAGAACGUUACCACCACUUUGUACUUAGACUCUGUGCCACAGUUGAAUGCUGAAAGGCCACAAGCUUGCAUGGGAUUCGUUGUUUCAUUAUUAACUAUAUUGUAGUUUUAAAUUAUUAAAUUAAUGAAUGACAUUCUUACCAAGUAGAUGUUUCUAAGUAAGGUACUAUAUGUGUACAGUAGUCCAAAGUUUCUUAAUACUCUGUGAUAAUUCUGUAAUUUAAUUAGAAUGUCUGUAUUGCAAAUUAAUAAAACUGUUGAGGUUAUAAAGUUGCUCAUUAAGGAAGCAAUUCUCCUGCCAUUUAGUUUGUUUGUUCUCUGCACUAAACUGAGACGCCAGAUGGCCACAGAAAAACAUGUUAAUAUUAUUUAAAUAGUGCUUUUAUUCCUUGAAAUGUUCAAGAGGUUUAAGAAACUUCCAUUAACAAUGUUGCAUUGCAUUGUAUUUGGAAGAAAUAAUUUUUUUUUUGAGCACUUUACUCCUGUAAUGUGCCUUUGGUAUACAUGAUGGGAAGUGAUAUAUUGUAAAAGCAGUUCUAUUUCAUUUUCUAUAUUUAUUUAGUGCUGUGCAUGUGUGUAUGCAUGUGUUUUUGUUUGUUGGUAUAGAGAUACAUGUGUGUGGGCCUGUGUGUCACCACAGAACACUUGGAAUUCAGAGGAAAACUGUUAGAGGAAGUUCUCCCCUUUGACCAUUGGCUUCCAAGAGUCAAACUCAGGUCUUUAGGCUGAGUGGGAAGCACCUACCUUUACCUGCUGAACCAGCACACUGGUCCAGCAACUCCAUUUCUAGAUGUCCAGUUUUAAAAAUCUAAUAUUAUUCAAUAGGUGCUGGAUACUACAAAACUCUCUUGCAGUUUCCAGUUUAUUUGUAGACUUUUAAAUUUUAUUGGUUUUGUGUUUCUGACUGCCUUUAUUUUCUCACAUUUCUGCAUGUAUAUAUCAGUGGACAUGUAUACAUAAAUGAGCUGAAUCUAUGAUUUUCAUUGGAGGGUUUAUUAUGCCCGAAAUAAGGUAGUUUCUUCCGCAGCUUUCAAAAUAUAAUCUAUUAUUCUAAACUCUGCAUGGAUUCCACCUGCAAUAUGAACUUCCCUCAACUGUAUUAUCAUGAAACCCUCUCUCCCACUUUUGGAUAUUUUUAGCCUUUAAUAUAUUUUCAUUAAUUUAUUAAAUAUGUACUUCCUCUUGGUAGUUUUUAAAGUAUUAUACUGCUUAAAUAUUUUUAAAUAACAUUCAUAAUCAAGUUAGCUUCAGACCUCAAGAACAGGAUGUUUCCUGAAGCAAGCUUUGCAAAUUUAGUAUCUAGUUGCUGUUUGGAAAAAAAACAAUAGCAGUAAAUACAACAGAAAUAAGCAAUAUGAUCUAAAACAGCCAUAUCACAUGGGGGAUCUAUAAUAAUAUGGAUAAUAAUAUUCAAAUAAUAACUAUUAACUAUAACUAUUAUAAAAAUGUUGAUUUUUCCAGGAGGUAGAGAGAUGGUAGAUAGGUAGUUAGAUAGAUAGAUAGAUAGAUAGAUAGAUAGAUAGAUAGAUAGAUAGAUAGAUAGAUGAUGGAUAAAUUUCUUAAUCUUAGUUCUUAGUAUGUACGUGAUUUGCAUAUACUUGUAUGUAUAUGUAUAUGCAUGUGAUGUGUGUGUGUGUGUGUGUGUGUGUGUGUGUGUGUGUGUGUGUUACUAUGUGUAAGUGCCACAGCACAAGGACAGCCUCCGGUGUUGAUCCUCAUCUUCCACCUUGAGACCGGUUCUCUUUGUUGUUUUUUUGUCUGUUGAACCACAAGCUUCCAAGGAAUCCUCUGUCUCCACUUCCUAUCAUACUGCAGGGGUGCUAUGAGUACAGAUUCACACUACUGUGUCUGGCUUUACACAGGAUCUGGGGAUCCUCAAGCUUGCAUAACAAACACUUUACCCACUGAGUUACCUCUUAAACCCCCAAGAGUGAGUUGAAAAAGAGAAAAAUAUAAUGACUUAAUUUUGAUUAGUCUAUUACUAGUUUUUAAAAUUCACUCUAUUUUUGUCUUCUUAUUACAAUGAUAAUGUGAGCUAGUGAGUUGCCAUUACAGUGUCUGCUUUCUGAGGAGGAACCCAGUGCUCAGAGAAUUAGAAUUUGAUCAUAAAGAUCUGAUCUUUAUAUAUUAAUCAUCUAGAGGGGCAGCCUAAAACCAUCUGAGUCUUCUAAUCCUGCAAAAUUCUGGAUUCUUACUCACCACUAAUAUAUUAGUGAUCAUUACCACUUAAAAAAAAUCAACAUGGAUAAUUGAGUUAUUAUAAAAAUUUAAGAAACAAGUUAGGGAAAAAAGUAGUCUGAGAUUUGAUUGUUAGACUCAGAAGCUGUCAAAUGUCCUUAGCAGAGAGCUGAAAGGUUUCCUAAACUGCAGUCUUUAGUGUGUUCAUUGCUCUGGGUGGGUAAUGAGCAACACCAGGAACACUUCCCAUGCCUGGACUACAUUCUGAGUAUUGUUCAACCCAUCAAGACAAAUCUCUAAGAGGAUCAGCAUCAUCAAGAAUGCACACCAACCAAGUUGCCAUGUUCACACAUACUUUCCUUUCUCUGGCCCUCUACCCAGCUGAUUGAACCAAGGCCACAGUGUGGCUAGUAACCUGUAAACUUGGUAAUUAUGCUUUAAAACUUGAGCUGGGUGUAUUAUUGUUGUUGCUGCUUUGUCUCUGGAUUUAUAUUUAACACAUAAAGAAAGGAUUUUUUAUAGCAUACCAAGAUACAUCAGAGGCAUCGGGACCUCAGAGUGACCUGUGAAAUCUGGGAAGUGUCCGGGCAAAAAGAGGAAUAUGUGCAGUAGAGCUGAGUCAUGUUAAUAAGGGAUCAGUAAAGCUUACAGAACUGCUGACUCUGCAGAGGUGCAUGAAGCUGCCAUCGUUCUAUAAUUACCUUGACUCCAAUAGCCCUUAGCCCCAGGCAUGAAACAGCAUUUUCUUUGACUGUUGUAAGAUAUAGAUCCCAUACUUCUUUCAGUGUACAUAUAUAUCCUGGCUGGCAUAAAUGGGCCUCUAAAUUAUUAAGAAACUUAGCUUAACCAAGACUUGGUCCCAGGCUUUUUACAUUUUAUCAAAUAAGCUUAUUCCAGAACUAACAGAUGCCACUGAGGAAGACAAAUUACACAUUUCGGCAGUGAUAUUUCAAAGCGAACUGGUCUGAGCUAGUGGAAUACUCUAUGUGCUUCUAAAAUUCUAUCUCUUAUCUACAUAUCUAGUUUUCUGUUUCUUUGUUUCCAAAUUCCACCCCUCAAAGAUUGAUUACAGCAUUUUCUGUAAUUCGUUAUAGUCUGCUUUUGCUUAAGGAGACAAUCUCUGGAAAUUUAUACCAAAUUACCCCAGUAAUAGAUGUGCUCUCGUAAUUCACCUGUCUUCUGCAUGUUCACUGAUUUGUGAAACUCUUUAGAGCCAAACCUCACUCUUUAAUGGACCAGACAUGUGCUUUUAGCUGCGCUAACCAGGACACAUAACAUGUGACAAUGGUUUCUGGAAUCCCCCCAGAAACUGAAGGUGCAAGUAGGAGAUUGUGUGUGCUGUGAUUUACAACACAUGAUUAUCGCCUUGAUGGUUCGUUGUCUUUUGAAAUGUAAGUGUUCCUGUUGUUUUUAACUCACAAGCUACAGUAACAUGCACAUUUUCUUUGUGGGCAAAAAGUAUCAUUUAGCACAAAAGUCAAAACAUAGCUUCUUUAAAAAAAAAUCUCCAAUUAAUUCUGAAUUUUAAGUGACUACUAAAUUAAACGUUUCCUGUCACAUGUUAACAAUAUGGGGCCUUCGACUGAAUGGAGCUCCGUGUAAUCUUAUUGAGCCAGUAGGUCACAGGAAUAAGAGAAAACGUGUUUGAAUCACAGGAGAGAGCGGAUGUUGGAUGGAUCUGUGAAAUACUCUCUGUUGUGGUAUCAGCUGACUGAUGGCUGUGAUUCUCAGAAGGACUCCAACAUUAUGCCUCCUAAAAGCUGGAGAUUAAUGUGACCAUGGUGAACCACACAGCGAUACUCUGGCAAAGAAAAAGGGUCAGGACUGGCAAGAUGUGGCAGGUGUCAAAAUAAAAGGUUAGGCUCUGUGCCUGGGGACCCAUCUGUCAGAUAAAACUAUGAUAAGGCAAUUAAUGUAUUUGUUUAUGUUGCUCAUGUCACACCAUGCAUAUUCCAUAAAAAUGAUCAGUUUAAACACUCUCAAUUGCUUUCUGGAAAUUAGACUAUAUGUAAAAAGAAAAUACUCAAGAUUUUAAAAAAAGAUUUAUUAAAUGGAGAGGUUACACAGCCAAAUCAAGUUAACUUGAAGAACUUCUAGUCUCUUUACUAAAGAACUAAAGCUAUUAACUAUAACAUCUUCAUAAUGUAGAGUUUAUAUUAGGGACAUUUGAAGCGGAUGUUUAUGCUGCAAUAUAAUUGGUAUAUCACCUCAAAAUUUCACCAUGCUUUACAUUCAUGAUACUAGAUUCUAAGUUUGGAAUAAAAUACAUCCCAGAGAAUGUAUAAGAAACUGAGAACUUCCAACCAUAAGCUAUGUAUCCUGCAUUUUCUUCAAAUGUUUUGUUCACAACGUUGUCAUUAUUAGGGCUUUCAUUUUCACUCUGUGAGUAAUCCUGACUCCUCUCAUUGUAUUUAUUAUUUAUUUAGCUUUCUCACGACAUCUGUUUUACAAUCUGUUUAAACUAGAACAUGUUUAGGUUUAAUAUUCAUCGGUGAUGUAUUUCUUGCAGACAAAAUAAAUUAUCAUAUGCUUUAAAACUGCCUUAUUAUUUUACAGGUCAAAAAAUAUAAAAGAAUUUACCCAGAAUUAUGAAAGAAAUAAGAUUUUUUUCCCAGCUCAAAAUUUCAGGUAAAAGUUGAUUUUCUCAUUACUUUCUACUGUGGAGUUAAAAAAAGCUCCCAGUUAUUGUUUUAAUACAUUAUUCUUACAAUAAUGUUACAUUUUGAAGAGAAGAAACUGGUUCAUCAAUUGCAUAAUGUGCUAUGCAGAAGGAAUAGUCAAGGCCUUCAAUUUCUGAGGAAAAGCCAGAUACGACUAUUUUGUUCUCAAGCUGCACUUUCUGACAGAGUGAUGGUGUUCGCAUUCAUUGUGACAACAGAGAGAAGCAUUUGAAAAACAGAGCUCCCAUAUUCAAUGGAUUUAUUCUCAUUUUGUUGAGACAGGAUUUACCCCCACUACUUCCCAUCUAUUAGAAGGGUUUUGAUUAAACUUUAAGUCAAUGAUUUUUUUUUCACCAGGACAACUUCCCAGCUCAAAGCAUGUCACAAUCUUUAAUUUUCAUCCAUCUCUCAUGGAAGCAUGGCUUCAGUGGACCAACAGAUAUUAUGGUAUGCUGAGGAAGUAAAGGUCAGUGGAGAUUCAAGACACAGAUUUUAUUAUAGGGUUCUUCCUGAGGUCUGAUGCACGACUUACAAAUUAUGUUUGCAGUCUGACUACAACUAACUACUAUUUGAAAUUGAAUUCACUCCUGCCUGCAUUUCCUGUCUCAGAGGUUUAUACUGUUGCUUUAAUUUUAUUUGAAUUUCAGUCUUCUGAAUUAGCUCUGUUUUCUAUCUCUUUAUCUUCAUUUACCUGGAUGUAGUUGAAAAUACACGAGGGCAAAAUAAAAUUCUUAGUCACCAUUCUGUAUGACUCUUCAAAAUUCUAAGAUGUGUAACAUUACCAGGCUGUGAUCAGUUCAGCUAACUGGACACUUUCUCUGUACCUUAGAGUAAAAGUAAUAAUCUCAACAGAAAGUUGGGAUCUCACUUAUUUUUUUCACAGAUCCAUUAAAAGAUCCAUCAAACAAAAGGUAAGAUGAUUUUUAACUUCUUCACAGUAGGGACUGUCCGUUAUAAAUGACCAAUUUCACAGCACAUAUUCUAUCUUUACAUGGGAAGAAAAUAAACAGCGAGGUUCCUUUUAUUUUAAAAUGAUUUAAUUUCUACUUUCACUUUUCUACAGAAGUGUGAAAGAGCAAUUUUGCUGGAUAUCCACUUAUUUCAAUUCAGCCAUGUGAUGGUAUUAUGAGAACUCUGGUGGGGUGGUUGACCCCUCUUUCCUCUGGGACUGUGCAAACCUCCCUCUGUUUUAACCAUAGAAAAACUUACUUCAAAUGACUAGCGUGUGCCUGCCUGCAUCGGAUGUGCCUUUUCCUUAGCCUCACACGCUUCUGGACCGCUUCUGUCUCAGGCAUCACUUUUCUUACCAGAUCCUUGUAUUUGUUUGUACUAUCAUUUAUGGUUUCAGGGAUUUAUUUUAAUACAUUGAGCAUUUGCUCAAUAUUAGGUAAGUAAUAUUUUACCUCCAUUUCCAGAUGAUGAAACUCUGGUAUACUGAGGGUAAUCCUUCUUAAAAUAUGGACCUAUCUUCUUUUAGUAAUGGGGAUUCUAUGCAUCUACUUACUGCUAAAUUGCUGAGGAACCAGGAUGAAAGUCUGAGAAUUGUGUGGCAGUUUGUAUUCUGUCAGCACUGGGCUGGGUUCAGCUGCACCACGGCCUCACCAGUACUGGAGUUGUCUGCCACCUCUUUCCUCUAUUCUGGUGUCUUUUGUGGGCUGAGCUCCUUUAAGUACUAACAAUGAGGGGCCUGGUCCAGGGGAGGUACUCUGACAGACACUGCUGGUUUCUUGUAUCUGAAGAAGGAAGGAUCUGGACCUUCCUGGAUCCCAGGUGAAAACAGCAGCUUCUGGAAUGAGCAAGCAGAAGACCCAGUCUCCAAGGAGCUACUUUAUCGGACCUGAAAAUGUACAAAAUUAUUGUUGUAAGAGAUAAAUUAACAUCUAUCCCUUUAGGGACCAUUAUUUCAAGACCCCACUUCAGCAGCUGCAAUGAUAUAAUAACUGAUACAGUUACUAAUUACUAGUUGAAUUGCAUUGCUACCAAGGAAUAGGAAAUAUAUAAAAUGUAUGUUCUAGUUCUAUAUAGAAUAUGUAUGCUAAGAUAUUUUAGCUGUUUAAGAAGUAAUCAAGUUUUGUAAGUAUUUACUACUGUUUUUUAUGAAUUUUCUAUUACAUAACUGUAUGAUGUCUUAGCUUAUAUAUAUACAUAUAUACAUACACACACACACAUAUAUAUAUGCUAUUCAACCCACAUUAUUAGUUGUGUUACUAUUUUCCAUAUCAUGCUCUAUAUAACAGCAUUGCAUAGAAGACUGAUGAGUUUCCAUCAAAAUAAAAAUGUUUCCUGGUCUUUUUAAUUCUCUGCUUCCUGUUUUUAUUGACAAGGUUAGUAACACAGACUACGGACCGGGAACGAAUCCUAUCUCUAAUUUGCCAGCUGUUUCAAUAUUAAAACACACUGUUUCAUCUUGCUGUUUUUCAGUUCCCUUGUCAAUGUAAAGAGCAGGGGGCAGGGGCAAUAGCACACAUCCCUCAGGAUUCAUAGCAUCAUAAAAUGAAUACAUGUUGACUAAUGUCAAUCAUGCUUAGCUGAUGAGGGACAUGAUCUUACAUUGCAUGUAAAAGGCCGUGAGAAGUAAUGACAUUUUGGCAUCUGCUUAGGCUUUAGUGUGCUGGACUUUCGCAAGUUUAUUUUACUGGGGAUGUUUGGUUCCAGCAAAAUGAAAAAAAGAAAUGUUCCAUACAAUGUUGAUUUGAAGAAUGCUGCUCUAUAUCCCUGUGUUAUGCUGUAGACUUGGAACUGCACCUCAACACAGAAUGUACAAAUGCUAUUUAGGAGACCUUUGAACUUCUUGACAUGGAUCCACAUUCUAUGUGCAUAUAUGUAUGUAUUUCUGAGGAGAUGUGCACAGACUGGAGCUGAUUUCAAAAUUUCACCACAUGUAGUUUGUUUUUUACAAGUAUUUAUUUAUUCAAUUUAUUUAUUUGCAUGGGUGUGGAAACUUAUGUUCCAUAACAACACACAAAUGGAUGCUGAGGAUGCAGUGUGCUGGCUUUGAUUUUAUCCUCCUAUCACAUGGGUAACAACAAUCAAACUUGGGUCAUCACUCUUGGUUGCAAGCACCUUUACCUACUGAACCAUUCACAGCUCCCUACCCCAGAUGUGUUUUUAUGCUAAGUGGAAAACUGUGACUAAAUUUCUUAAAUAUAUCAUUCUUUUCCUCUGUUCCUGGUUGAUUAAGGUUUUUCCUGCUUGUCACCAUCAGACAUUUCCUAGCAUCAAAGCAUUUUAUCCACCUUUGGUAACUUGUUUCCUUCCGUUUUCCCUUCUUUGAAGUCAUCUUUAUUUUUCCAUUUAAACAGUGUUUUUCCACGGAGCUUUCUUCUUCUCUUUUACAGGAAGGAGUGCUUCCUUGCAGACUUUUGUGAAUAUUAAUUGAUUCCUAGCAUUUAUGUCUGGUUUCUACAGCCUCUUGUUUUGCAAAGAAAAAUUUGCUGCUAUCUGAAUCAGCUGCUGAAUCCAUUCCAUCUGUUUGGUUGAUAUUUCAUACAUCAAUGCUGGCCUUUACUUUGUAUUAUUUUAAUUAUUUAUUUAGAGUUUUGGCAGGGGAUUUUUGUUUUUGUUGUUUAUUUGUUUGAUUUGGGUUUUUAUUUGUUUUGAGACAGAGUUCCAUUGUGGAGCUCAGGAUAGCACAGGACAGAACAGGACUCACCAUCCUAUCUCAGCCUCAUGAUUGCUGGAUUUGCAUCUAUAUUCUACUAGGUCUGGGCUCACUUUGUUUAUUUUUCUCAUUGUUUCCCAGAACACUAUCUAACCACAUGCCCAAGUGUCAGUUUAAAUGGUGAGCAUACUGUCUGGUCACAGCACAUCUUUCAAAAGCAAUUUUUAAUAACUUUUCCAAUAUAAAUUUGAUGAUGAGGCCCAUUUAUAUAUUUCCCAUUUUCUGUCAAGUUUUGUUUCUUAUUCCUCUCUUUAAAUUCUAGGAAUAUUUUAUAUAGAUAUUAUUAACACUUUGAUACUCUCAAAUCAUGCAAAUGCUAUUUCAUAUGCUAUGAUUGGUUAUAAAUCACAGUUUUCGAAGACUUUCUAAAUUCCACAGCUGGCAGCCAGGAUCUACUUACAGAGCUGAUUCCUCUGAGAUCUACAUUCUAGGGCCCCCAACCCACUCUUUUCUUUGUUCCCUGUUGCUUUCUUAGAUUGGACAUGUCUGCCUGAAUAUGGAAGAGUCUAAUCGAAAGUAAAUGAAGCCAUAUUUAGCCCAAUUCCGCUACAGUGGCUGGAAACAGAAAAGAAUAGAUGAUUUUCCCCCAGAUGAAACAGCAUUUAGGGGCGUAUUUCAGGGUGUUUAAGGAACAAAACUAAGAAGAUACCACCUGAUCCCCUUCACCAGCAGCACCAUGGUGAAAAAAACCAAAACCACCUCUCUUGUAAAGAGGUUUUUCUUCUCUUCCUGCUAUGGGGCCGCCAGAAUAUAAAAUCAAAACUCAGCUGGCUACAACAAAGCCACUACCUGAAGGGAUCCAGGAAUUCCUUCAGAUGAAGCCAAAUCCUAAGGGGUAUUUGGUGCUCUUUGGGUUUUAAUAUAUCAGCUGUCUUCUGCUAUGAAUAUCAAGUGUGUCUUCAUAGUUUUUCUAAUUGAUUUUUUCCCUAAGAAUUGCUAACAGUGUGGACUGAUCACUCUUUGGACAUAGACAUUUGAGGUAUUUGGAGAACAGCCUCAGGCCCUUCUGGUUUCUCCCUUUUUUAGCACAAGAAUCAGCUAUCUCCCUUAGCUACAUCCAAGGACAAACAGAAAUAACAUUUCAGACCACCACAUGCUAGUCUGCCGAAUUAAGGUAAAUUCCAUACAGAGACACUGCCUAGGUCAGGUGGAACCCUCCUUUCUUAUACAGUCUUAGUGGUAUUUAUACUAACACUAUAGACUCCUAACAUUUUACCUAACUACCUCUAAGAAUGUAGAUUGAGCACAUAAAUUCUCUUUUUGAUAUAUUAACCAAUAUUAACUCUCAGUUGACCUCCUCCUUGAACCACUCCGUUUUCAGGUUGUAAAAGAAAGCCUGACAGUCACUGCCUGAGGAAAAUUCUUACCUGCCUUUAUGACCCUGUAAGAAUUCAAGCCUGGUGGCCUGGCUGGAGGAAGAGGAUUGAAAUUGCUUGGGCUUAUAACUGUAAACCUCAAAAACUUACGGGAACAGAGAAGAAUAAAUCUAUGGACGAAGA